GCCAGGUCCUGGAAGGUAACUAACGCAGCCAGGUCCUGGAAGGUAACUAACACAGCCAGGCCCUGGAAGGUAAGUAACACAGCAAGGUCCUGGAAGGUAAGUAACACAGCCAGGUCCUGGAAGGUAACUAACACAGCCAGGCCCUAGAAGGUAAGUAACACAGCAAGGUCCUGGAAGGUAAGUAUCACAGCCUGGUCCUGCAAGGAAAGUAACACAGCCAGGUCCUGGAAGGUUACUAACAUAGCCGGGGCCCUGGAAGGUAAGUAACACAGCCGGGCCCUGAAAGGUAAGUAACACAGCCAAGUCCUGGAAGGUAACAC